rnacentral:rRNA from 1 species
CACGCUGUAAACGAUGGAUACUAGACGUGGUGGGUCUUGACCCCUGCCGUGUCGAAGUUAACACGAUAAGUAUCCCGCCUGGGAAGUACGGUCGCAAGACUAAAACUCAAAGGAAUUGACGGGGGCCCGCACAAGCGGUGGAUCAUGUGGUUUAAUUCGAAGCAACGCGCAGAACCUUACCUGGGUUUGACAUCCCCUGAAUGCAGUAGAGAUAUUGCAGGCUCGCAAGAGACAGGGAGACAGGUGC